rnacentral:rRNA from 1 species
UACGUAGGGUGCGAGCGUUAAUCGGAAUUACUGGGCGUAAAGCGUGCGCAGGCGGUUCGUCGUGUCCGAUGUGAAAGCCCCGGGCUCAACCUGGGAAUGGCAUUGGAAACUGGCGGACUCGAGUGUGGCAGAGGGGGGGUGGAAUUCCGCGUGUAGCAGUGAAAUGCGUAGAGAUGCGGAGGAACACCGAUGGCGAAGGCAGCCCCCCUGGGCUAACACUGACGCUCAGGCACGAAAGCGUGGGGAGCAAACAGG